rnacentral:tRNA from 1 species
CGAAGCAUAGCAUAUAUAAUGCUUUUUACUUACACUAAAAAUAAAACAGUUUGUUUGCUCCGCAU